rnacentral:rRNA from 1 species
CGUGGGUAACCUGCCCAAGAGACUGGGAUAACACCUGGAAACAGAUGCUAAUACCGGAUAACAACACUAGACGCAUGUCUAGAGUUUAAAAGAUGGUUCUGCUAUCACUCUUGGAUGGACCUGCGGUGCAUUAGCUAGUGGUAAGGUAACGGCUUACCAAGGCAAUGAUGCAUAGCCGAGUUGAGAGACUGAUCGGCCACAUUGGGACUGAGACACGGCCCAAACUCCUACGGGAGGCAGCAG